rnacentral:rRNA from 1 species
GCCAGAGCCAUAUCUCCCUGCAGUUCUCACCUGGUUUCCCACUAAAGCUAAGCAGGGUUGAGCCUGGACAGUAUCUGGGAUGGGAAAAGUAAGGUUGCUGCUGGAA